UUUCUUUUAUUUUUCAAUUUCUCUGUUCCCCCAAGCUCCUUCCCCCUUCUCAUUUUUAUUAUUAUGUGUUUUGAUCAAUGGAUGUAUUUUACAAAACGGGACAGAAGUUUGGCUCUUUGGCUAACUUAUAAAUCCCUGCCAUGGAGAUGAAUGCUGCUCCCAAUAUCAAAUCCCUUCAACUUUGUCUCCAAAUUCGCUACGAUCGGCCAUCGAUUCCAAAAAUUCUAGCGGAUUCUUCGAAAAAAUGGAGGUGUUUAACUGCUCGGAAAUAAAACGAUGCUUUUGCUCUUCAGAUUUGCUGAGGUUAUCCCUUGAAGCUGGUCUAGUAAGCCUUAGCACAUUCCCUUUCUAUUUCUCGUCGAUCUCGUAACUGUUUGAUAUUGUAAAAUAUAUUUUUCACAAAUUAAUCAAUGCCUAAAACUCAGAA